UACGGGGGGGGCAAGCGUUGUUCGGAAUUACUGGGCGUAAAGGGCUCGUAGGCGGCCAACUAAGUCAGACGUGAAAUCCCUCGGCUUAACCGGGGAACUGCGUCUGAUACUGGAUGGCUCGAGUUUGGGAGAGGGAUGCGGAAUUCCAGGUGUAGCGGUGAAAUGCGUAGAUAUCUGGAGGAACACCGGUGGCGAAGGCGGCAUCCUGGACCAACACUGAGGCUGAUGAGCGAAAGCCAGGGGAGCAAACGGG
rnacentral:rRNA from 1 species